AGAGUUUGAUCCUGGCUCAGAACGAACGCUGGCGGCGUGGAUUAGGCAUGCAAGUCGAGCGGGAUCCGCGUGUUCCAAUUCUUCGGAAGAGGGGCAUGUGGUGAGAGCGGCGAACGGGUGAGUAAUGCGUAAACAACUUGCCUCCAAGUCGGGGAUAGCCCAUCGAAAGAUGGAUUAAUACCGGAUGUGAUCCCCCUUCGCAUGAAGGGGUAUUUGAAGAUGGGGACCUUCGGGCCUGUCGCUUGGAGAUAGGUUUACGUUCUAUCAGCUAGUUGGUGAGGUAACGGCUCACCAAGGCUACGACGGAUAGCCGGCCUGAGAGGGUGAUCGGCCACACUGGGACUGAGACACUGCCCAGACUCCUACGGGAGGCUGCAGUCGAGGAUCAUUCACAAUGCACGAAAGUGUGAUGAUGCGACGCCGCGUGGAGGAUGAAGGCCUUCGGGUCGUAAACUCCUGUCAGGAGGGAGUAAAGCUUCGGGGUCAACACCCCCGGGGUCUGAUAGUACCUCCAGAGGAAGCCACGGCUAACUCUGUGCCAGCAGCCGCGGUAAUACAGAGGUGGCGAGCGUUGUUCGGAUUUACUGGGCGUAAAGGGUGCGUAGGCGGUUUCGUGUGUCGGGUGUGAAAUGUCACGGCUCAACCGUGAAGGGUCAUC
rnacentral:rRNA from 1 species